UCACAGAAAAGACAUGGCUGUCUCUGAACCAGGAAGUGGACUUAGACACAAAAUCCACCAUGUCUUCAUCUUGGAUUCCCAGCCUUCACACUGACGCCUGGGGCAAGAGACCUGACAAGUGGCCCCCAACGUGGGGCUGAAUGAAGAAACACAACAGGAGGCCUUAGGAAAUGGGCUUCUUCACUCUCUCUCAACCCCCCAAUCCCUAACCACGUGCAUAAUGGCCCUUCCUACUUCCAAUGGCCCAGGAGGCACCACUCUGUGCAGUCUUUCCAACACAUCUCUGGGAAGAUUUGAAGGUGCUGAGGCUCUAUGGUAGACUAAGCCUAUUUGUAAGCAGCUGGUUGAACAAAUUGUGAGUCCGGUUACUCAGACCACUCUGAGCCGGGUGUUCAUGUCCUUUUCCUAUGCAGGAUGGAGUUCUCUCUUCUUUAGGAAUCCUGGAAACCCCGUCUCUGUGGGUUCAGACAUAUCAGCUGUUGGAAGCCCCUCCACCCAGCCCCCAGCUAACCAGUCCCCACUCCUUCCUGCAAAUGCCUCUGAUGAGCACACAUCUCCGUGACUCACCAGCUGCCUGGAAGAGGAGGAACAGCAUUUAUGAAUCCCCACUCUGCUCCUCUGCCUGGAGCUGAGGCCCCAGGUCACACUCAGUCCUUGCUUCCCCACAACUGUCACUGCGGGGCUGCUGUGGGGAAGGGCAGGGAAGACAGCUCUGUCAUCUCGAGUCUGGUUUUCCCAGAAUUUCCCAUGCUUCCCAGCACCCAGGUAGUGUGGAAGAAACCCCUCUUGUGCAUGCACACUCCCCUCCCACACAUCACAGCCAUGCAGACUCCUGCGGGCUGCUGACCUUCACACUUCUGCCUGCCUCUGAAUUUGCAACCCAAAGUCACCAUGGGGCAUAGAGACCAUUGCAUCCUUAUUGGCAAAAUGCUGUGUUCAAGGAAGCAUCUAUACUCACUUCAGCAAGUAUUGCUGAAAUAAAGUGAGGCUGGGUCCUACAUAGAGAAAAUCCUUGCCUUCUUUUUUUCUUAUUGUUAAGCAACCGUCUUCUCAUGGAGUCAGCUUCCUGAAGGGUCACAGAAGCAGGCAGAAUAUUAUAGGUUUGAGGAAAGAAAAAGAAUUCAGGGACUGAAGACAAUUCAGACCUAAAGUGGAAACCACCACCUCUCACCGCUAAAUGAGGACAAGGGUGCCCUGUUCCAGGCUGAGACAGCAGCACAGGCACCGGAAGGACCCCACGCAUAAGUGCUGGACUCAGGGUGAGAGAUCAAAGUAAGCGAUGCACCCAGGCUGGGAUGUUGCAAAAGAGCAGCUGCAAGAAGGCUGUCCAAACUCUCGGACCUUCUGUUUCCUCCAAUACAUCUUCCAGAAGGCCAGACAAGAGCAUCGAUGUGCAGGAGAGUGAAGCUUUCCUCUGACCCAGGUGAAUUUAUGGUUCACCUGCGCAUUUGUUGAAGAAAUCACUAGAAGCGAA